rnacentral:rRNA from 1 species
AGCAGCCGCGGUAAUUCCAGCUCCAAUAGCGUAUAUUAAAGUUGUUGCAGUUAAAAAGCUCGUAGUUGAAUUUCGAGAUCAAAUUGUUGGUCGUGCCUUGGUACGCACUGGCAUUAUUGGUUUCUCCCUUCUGACGAACCAUGAUGUCAUUAAUUUGGUGUCUUGGGGAAUCAGGACUGUUACUUUGAAAAAUUAGAGUGUUUAAAGCAGGCUCACGCUUGAAUACAUUAGCAUGGAAUAAUGAAAUAGGACGUUUGAUUCUAUUUUGUUGGUUUCUAGGAUCGACGUAAUGAUUAAUAGGGAUAGUUGGGGGCAUUAGUAUUCAAUUGUCAGAGGUGAAAUUCUUGGAUUUAUUGAAGACUAACUACUGCGAAAGCAUUUGCCAAGGAUGUUUUCAUUAAUCAAGAACGAAAGUUAGGGGAUCGAAGACGAUCAGAUACCGUCGUAGUCUUAACCAUAAACUAUGCCGACUAGGGAUCGGAUGAUGUUAAUUUUUAAUGACUCAUUCGGCG